rnacentral:rRNA from 1 species
GAUGAACGCUGGCGGCGUGCCUAAUACAUGCAAGUCGAGCGAACAGAUGAGGAGCUUGCUCCUCUGACGUUAGCGGCGGACGGGUGAGUAACACGUGGAUAACCUACCUAUAAGACUGGGAUAACUUCGGGAAACCGUAGCUAAUACCGGAUAAUAUAUUGAACCGCAUGGUUCAAUAGUGAAAGACGGUUUUGCUGUCACUUAUAGAUGGAUCCGCGCUGCAUUAGCUAGUUGGUAAGGUAACGGCUUACCAAGGCAACGAUGUGUAGCCGACCUGAGAGGGUGAUCGGCCACACUGGAACUGAGACACGGUCCAGACUCCUACGGGAGGCAGCAGUAGGGAAUCUUCCGCAAUGGGCGAAAGCCUGACGGAGCAACGCCGCGUGAGUGAUGAAGGUCUUCGGAUCGUAAAACUCUGUUAUUAGGGAAGAACAAAUGUGUAAGUAACUAUGCACAUCUUGACGGUACCUAAUCAGAAAGCCACGGCUAACUACGUG